rnacentral:lncRNA from 1 species
UUACGAUUUACUAUUAUUUAUGUACCUUUAAUUCUCAUCCUAAGUUUCAUAUAGAUUUCCUUCCAUCCUCGUGCACGAUGCGUCCACCGGCACUAAAAUGGAAUUCAAUCCAGACUACACCUCCUUUGUUGGUUACGGCCGAUCCCAACAUAGGAGCUAUAUAUUUAAUUUCCUAUGUUCCGCAAUUGAUUCCUAAGGCCCAACUUAUGCUCUGAUACUAACUUUGUCAC